rnacentral:rRNA from 1 species
AUUGAACGCUGGCGGCAGGCCUAACACACGCAAGUCGAGGGGCAGCGGGAAAGUAGCUUGCUACUUUUGCCGGCGAGCGGCGGACGGGUGAGUAAUGCCUGGGAAAUUGCAGAGUGGAGGGGGAUAACAGUUGGAAACGACUGCUAAUACAACAUACGGCCUACGGGGGAAAGCAGGGGACCUUCGGGCCUUGCGCGAUUGGAUAUGGCCAGGUGGGCUUAGCUAGUUGGUGAGGUAAUGGCGCACCAAGGCGACGAGCCCUAGUGGGUCUGAGAGGAUGAUCAGCCACACUGGAACUGAGACACGGUCCAGACUCCUACGGGAGGCAGCAGUGGGGAAUAUUGCACAAUGGGGGAAACCCUGAUGCAGCCAUGCCGCGUGUGUGAAGAAGGCCUUCGGGUUGUAAAGCACUUUCAGCGAGGAGGAAAGGUUGAUGCCUAAUACGUAUCAACUGCGACGUUACUCGCAGAAGAAGCACCGGCUAACUCCGUGCCAGCCGCCGCAGUAA